rnacentral:rRNA from 3 species
GGACUACUCGGGUAUCUAAUCCCGUUCGCUACCCUGGCUUUCGUUCCUCAGCGUCAGAAAAGCCCCAGUGAGCCGCCUUCGCCUCCGGUAUUCCAGAUGAUAUCAACGCAUUUCACCGCUCCACCAUCUGUUCUGCUCACCUCUAGCUUCCUCGAGCACGACAGUUUAGAGCGCAAUUCCUCGGUUGAGCCGAGGGCUUUCACACCCUACUUUUCAUGCCGCCUACGAACUCUUUAAGCCCAGUAAUUCCGAAUAACGUUUGGGCCUCUCGUAUUACCGCGGCUGCUGGCAC